rnacentral:rRNA from 1 species
UACAGAGGUGGCAAGCGUUGUUCGGAAUUACUGGGCGUAAAGCGCGUGUAGGCGGUCGGGUAAGUCGGAUGUGAAAGCCCCGGGCUCAACCCGGGAAGUGCAUUCGAUACUACUUGGCUAGAGUACUGGAGAGGAUGGUGGAACUCUCGGUGUAGAGGUGAAAUUCGUAGAUAUCGAGAAGAACACCGGCGCGAAGGCGGCCAUCUGGACAGAUACUGACGCUGAGACGCGAAAGCGUGGGGAGA